CUUAUCCGAAAUACAUUUGGAUUGGGCGGGCAAAAUCCGAAUUGGGUGUCGGAUUUCGGGUGACAGGUUUGGGCCUAUCGGACCAGGCGAGUUCUUUGGGCGGUCUGGGUGUGUCGGGCCUGGUGUGCAGGCCUAGUAGGGAGACUAUUUCAAACCGUAAAGACUUUUGUAGCAAACACACCAUCUCAGCACCCUUUUGAUUCUUAAAUCUCUCUGGCUAUUCCAUAAAAAUCUUGUCUUCAAGAGUGCCAUGUAAGAAAGUUGUUUUCACAUCAAGUUGUUCUAAUUCCAUGUAUUCUUUUGCAACUAAGGCUAAGAUAAUUCUGAUGGAUGUCAUCUUGACCACCAGUGCAAAAACAUCAUGAUAAUCGAUGCCCUCUAGUUGUGCAUACCCUUUUGCCACAAGCCUAGCCUUGUAUCUAGGCUUUUUAACACCUGGGAUUCCAGUUUUCCUUUUGAAAUUCCACCUACAACCUAUAACUCUCUAAUUGUUUUCUCUUGGAACCAAUCUCCAUGUAUGAUUUGUACUAAAAAAAUCUAACUCUUUUAACAUGGCAGCUUCCCAAUAUUUCCAAUUCAGACUGUUAAUGGCUUCUUCAUAAUUUCUAGGCUCCUCUUCAUUGAUCAUAUCAACAAUUAUAAAUGCAAAAGCAAGGAGGUUAGCUUGAGCAUAUCUUGAUGGCAACUUGAUCUGCCUUCUCUCUCGAUCUCUUGCUAAAAGGUAGUCAUCAAGGUUGUGUUGGUAAAUCAUAACUUCUUCAGAGUCACUUUCAGGGUCAUUAUCAUAUUUUUAGUUCAUCUUAAGUUGUUGGAGAAGCUCCACCUCGAGCUGGAAUGUCAAUUGAAUUAUGCAAGUCUUCUAAA